UUGUAAUUAUAAAGACGUAUGGGUAAAAUUGUGUGUCAGAGGAGUCUGUGAGUAAGGCUGGUACUAUUUUUAGACUGUGUGUGUGUGUGGAAAUGCAAAUAAGGAAGCUGAGAGGUGCAUAGAGUAUGAGGAAGUUUAUAGAGACUGCUAGACAUUGCUGAUGGCUGUAUUUAAGACGCUGGUUUUGUUUAUGACAAUAUUAACCAGUGUGUCCCCCAGACCUGAUAACACCCUUGCCCAGUUGGCCCCCGUAUCAGGCGAGCAUGGAAGGCUGGACAGCCCAUGACGGGUAAGAUCCCACCUCGAAACCCUGGGACAACCUAAGGCAAGGCGCAGUCACGAUUGCUUGAACCUAAGUCCCGGAGUGACUUUGGAGUCACUGGAGGAGACGGGACUUCAACGGGUAAAGCCGCUGGGUACAGGCGAAGGGGAAAUGCCACUAACAAUGACCAGUGAUGAGCCAGAGAGAGAAAACACACCCUGUCAAAAGGAGUCUGAAACACUGCAAAAGAAACAUUUAUAAGAUCACAAAGAUCACAAAGAAACAUUUAUAAAAAUCACACAUACAAACAGAAAAUGCACUAACCUUACAGAGAUAAGCUCAUGAAGAUUACUGCAUAGAUAGUGAUUAAAACCUGGCUAAGAACAUAAACAUAUGUAAUUAAAUGAGCUUGCUAAUUUCAUGAGUGUUAAAAUAGUGUGAAUGUUGAAGAAAAUACAUUUAAAACACACUUGGAUAAAAUAGAGUUGUGGAAUAACUCAAACGAAGCUGUAUGACAAGGGAGUGAGUUAUGGAAAAAACAAAACAAAACAAAAAAAAAAACAAAAACAAAAGAGAAGUGAUUAGAGUAGUUUAAAAAGGGUGACUUAGGAGCGCUGUUGCACUGAUUGAUAAAAGCAAGUGAUUAGUAUAGAAAGAAAAUGAAAAUAAUUGAAUAAUGUGAUAAGGUUUAAACAUGUAUUUAUCUUGUGACGGAGUAUGAAAAUUAGUUGGAGAGCUAAUGUGAGUGAUGACAGAGGAGCUUGCUGUGUGUGUGUGUGAUUGAGGCCUUCAAGGAGAAGUAGACGGUUCAGAGGUGCAAAUUUGAUUAAGAGGUUUAUAAAUUAGUGUUGACACAUGGUUAUAACGUGUUUAUAUCUUAGGCUGAAUGUGAGUUUGGUAAAGUGCUUAAAGGGGGAUAUUGUGUACGAAACGGUGUAGCUUUUUACGUUUUGGGUGUGUUCUAUGGCUGAAAUUUAAGAUUGUUGAAGAUUUUUGAGGUUGUUGUUUUUAUUUUAAUAGAGGGAGUUUUAAUAAACAUGGACAUGUUUAAGGGGUUUUGUAACAGUGCACUUAUAAAGAAAAAACCUGUCAGGUGUUUUUGUUUUGUACUUUGAUGAGCUAAUACUCAGCUCUCUUUUUUCCUCAUUUUUGUUCUAAGCAGGCCUGCAAAAGACAACAAUGAAUAACGGCGCCGACAAUAGUCUCAGGAAAACAAAAAGUAAGGUGACCUUUUCCGAAUUACAAUGGGUCAGAUUGUGGGUCCCUGUCUAAGAGGAUUGCAGCGAGCCAAUCCAGUCCAAAAGUAUAAAGAACUAUUUUCUUAAGAAACGAGUAAAAAGAAAAUAAAUGAUUAUAUAAAUAAACUGAGUUUGCUGAAGGUGGUAAAUCUGAUUAUUUGUGCGGAAGUCAACCAACACCCGAUGUUAAUGCGUGUGAGUGAAUGUGUGGGAAUGGACGGACCAGGCAGACCAUAGGUUGGACCGACUGGACACUGACAAAAGACUGGACUAAGGUUGGACACAUGACUGAUAAUUGUUAUGUUUUAAGUUUUGUUUUAUAACACAGGUUGGAUCAUAAGUGGAGAAAGUGAGUAUAAAAGGUGAUGUUCUGGUUAACACACAGGCUUUUGUUUAUAGGACGUUUCAAGGAUGCAGGCUGUGGAUGGAGCCAAGAAGGGAUUUUGACAUGAUGAUUAAUUUGAUUUCAUUCUUUAAACACAGGUUUGAAGGCCCGGAGCAACUAUACCUAAUAUGAUAUGAUUAACUUUUCUUUUAAUUCCCUAACCUGAGUGAAGGAUUUUGAGUUUGUAACACAUGAGAUGUGUCACAAAAAGGGGGGUCUUAAUAUAUGCGAUUAGCUACAUGAAAUGUGCUCUUUUAGGGUUACUAAGCAAAUGUCUACGUGAUCUUUACCUAACAACCUUUGUGAUGAUAAACUUGUUUACCGACUUGCUCUCUUGUAGAACAUACAGACUUAGGAAAGGGGAACCUCAGCUCUGAGUUCUGAGAAUAACUUUGGUAUCUUGGUAAGUUGACAGGAAACACGUCGAGACAGCAAUAUAGGGCAAAGGUGUUAGAGCUUGUAAUUAAAUGUGGGCUUGAAAAGAGGAAGCAAAUUUGGUAAAGGACGUGCUUGAGAUGAUCAGACGAGAGAAGGAGAAGGUCAGGAAUAGUUUAAACUAAGAUUGAGAAAUAAAUGGGGUAAAAGGGGGUGUAGCUUCAGGGCAGCUCGCAGCCCGGCGUAAACGCAAGGUGCUGUCACACAGCUUAAGUUAUUUGGUUGAUUUAUUUUAUGACAAAAUAAUAAGGAAACAUUGAAAACAUACAACCCGUUGAGGAGACAGAUAGGGUUGGCCAAUCGAAAGGUUUAGUUUGUUUAGCAUGAUAUCUUUUGUUAUAUUUUAGAGUUUAACAUGGAAGAUGCCUCUCUGGAGCUUUUCUCCUGAUGCUACCCCAAUAAAAGACGCUUAUCCAUAGAGACUAUGUCAGCUCCCAAACAGACAACAACAAACCAAGACUAGCAAAAAACAAUCUGAAUAUAAAUAAUAACAAAUAAAGAAUAAUACAGAAUCCAAAUAUGAACGAAAGAAUAAAAUAGUGAAAUGUGGAUUAUUAAAUAUUAAGUCUCUCUGUUAAAAGAAGUGUCUGUUAGCUGACGCCGAGCGGUCGCAGCAGAUGGCUGCCCGUACCUGAGCAUGGUUCUGCUGGAGGUUUCUUCCUGUUAAAAGGGAGUUUUUCCUUCACACUGUUGCCAAAGUGCUGGCUCAAUAGGGGGUCACAAGAUUGGUGGGUUUUUCUCUGUAUAUAUGAAGCCCCUUGAGGCAAUUUUUGUUGUGAUUUGGCGCUAUAUAAAUAAAAUUAAAUGGGAAUGUAUUGAAGUAAACUUAAAUGUCAUAAACUAGGAAUUAGUUCAUUUCUCAGGGGAGAAAUGAAAAAAAAACGGGGACUGGUGUUAGGAAUAAAAGUUAUAUUUUUAAUAUGAAUCUGCUCAUUAUCUUGUUUUAUGUACUUUAAUAAUGAAGGCUGGCUGGUAGAGCAAGGCCACCUUUUACUCACAAACAAGUGCUCAGCCAGACUGAAAAACAGGAAGUUUUAGUGCACAAGGCAUAUUAAUAAAUAUAGACACAAAAAGAGGAACUCCCCAUAUAAACAACAUUCAAAAUGUGUGAAGUAUAAAGUACCGAAAUAACACUAUAUAAGUCACAGCUGAUGAUUCUAAUGUUAGAGAGCUCUUGCAACUGGCGUCUGAGCUGUGCAGAGGUCGCUCUUAAGACAGGUACUUAUGUAGGUUAACAUAAGGUUGAGUCCAACAGAAGCAAGGCACCCCAAAUGUGCACAGCAUGCAGCAGGGGUGGCCAAAAUAAUAUAGGGAACAGCACAUGUAGGGAGAGAACACUCACUAAAAGUUCUGACUACACAUAGUGUGGUGGCUUAUGUGAAUUUGCAGGUUUUAACUAUGACAUCAUUAGCACAACAGAGACUGAGUAAAGUUUUAGAUGCUCGAAAUCUGACACUUACACAUGAAGGAAUCAAUAUGGCAGAUGUAAUGGGAUUAGGAGGACCUAAUUAUUGUACUAAGAAAGCAGAACUUGAAGGGAAAGUCAGGGAAGAUUUAAAAACAGGACCUGUUGGGAUUGGGGAUUUAGAGAUUUUUAUUGCUAUUAUAUAAUGUGCCUUAUGAUGACUGCAUUAAUAACAGGUUGUACAGUAUAAUUUUAAUAGUAUUGAAUAUGUUUGUGAUAACAGUGAUGUCUCUAUUUACAGGUUGAGUUUAUUUCAGACACAAUGCAUAACUGUGCUUGUUUAGAGUUGAUGUUCCGUCCAAAAGGGUUUAAGCUUCACUGGUGAGAGUGUCCAGGUGAUACAUGUUGAGGGAAGAUGAGAACAUAGCAGGUUAAUUGCAUGCACGCUUACAAACACACAUGAUUUAAAUAUAGGCCAGGCCGAAGGCCUGGACUUUAUGUAGCUUUUAAAUUUACAGCUCCUAACUUGCAGGAAUGGCGUGGAGUGUAAUGAAUGAAUGCAAAACAUGCUUACAGACACAAACAUGAAAUGGAUUUAUUUUACAGGGUAAAGGUGGACCACAUGUUGCUUUGUUUCUGCUUAGCAACUGCUGAGGUAAAAGGUGUUAAAGAUAAAUAUGCAAUAAGUGAACAGGAAAUGUGUGAGGGUGAGCCGGGUGAAACAAAAUGUUGUAGAUAAUGGAAACUUGUCUAACUGGCAUUAACAGUAACUUUUGCAUGUUAUGUAUAUGCUUGAGGCCAAAAGAGGCGUAAAUCCUGAUAGAAAACUUUGAAGUGUGCUUUUUAGCGGAGAUUUAGGCUGACAGGGGGAUGGUGUGUAUUUUACUCUGUGUUUAAUAAAGCUAAAAGCGUUGCUCACACACAUAAAGAGUAUUGAGAUUAAGUAAAGUUAAUAUAAUGGAUAGAGCCCAGAACAUGAUAUUGUCAACCAACUUUGAAUAAUUCAAGGAACAUUAGAUGAACACAGUAGGUUAGUGAGGUGUAGCAGAGAAAGGCUGUUUGUUUUCUAUCCCUUACAGGAGAAGAUUUCCACUAGAGAGGGACCCAGAAAAGGAGCAGAGACCACUUAAGUAUGAAGUGUUUUCAAGUGGGAGCUGGUGUUUUAUUACUGGACCACCUAGAGGACAUGAGGUGGUUUUCUGAUUUGCUGAGUCAGAGGACGGCUAGAGAGGGUCAGAGCGAAGGCAGUGGACCUGGGAAUGGUGGUUGCGGGGCCCAUGAGGCCAUUAAUGGAUGUAGAGGUGACAGAGUGGGUCGAGGAGUGACACAAGGAACUGGUGUGGUGAUGUCUCUGGAGAGACAUCAAGAGAGGGAAUUGUAGAAUUAAAGAAAUUAGUUUACUGCUGAACUGUAUAUAACCAGCAUCCUUAUCAUUACAUUAAUUAUCAUUUCAUCAAAGUGUUUAUUGAAGCUGUCGGCAUUAUGUUAUAAGUUAUAUUAUAGGGGUUAUCAUAAUCAAAUAUUAACAUGUUUAUUACAGGUGCAGUUAUAACUACUUUAAAAUGAUUGAGUUAAUAUAUAUAUAUCAUAACUCAGAGCCUGAGUAUAUUGUUACAGUAAAAUAGUAGCUGAGUAAAGGCCUGAAUGUAUUCAGCUUCUUGUGGUAUUUGAGUUUGCUUAGUUACAGGUGACGAAAGGAUGUCCAGUCCAUGGGGACCUCAAAGGCCUGAGAUCUUUACCAUAUUUGGAUGGAUGGGGAACUUCUGUGUCUGCAGUUAUCUCUUAAAAUACAUGGAUGUUCUCUACAUGCAAAUUAUGUGCUUGUAAACGCAUGAGGGGGCGUUACAAUACCCUGAUGUUAUAAAAGCAAUCUAGAGUGUAUUUUGGGUAGAGAUGUACAACUGAUGUUUUGCAGUUUACACCUCUCCACGCUGCGUGCAUUCAUUAAAAUCAAUUGUUUGACCGACCUCUUCUGGACCAUCAUUGUUUUACUCUCGUCCUCAAUUUCGAACCCGUAACAGUGAAUAAGAUCAAUCUUACCGUUUCAAUGAAGUCUGACUGUAUAGAAUAUAAAACACAUGAAUUAUUAACAGCAAUAUGUUACGGCACUAGCAGAGCCUCCUCCUGAAGUUGCCCGUGUGGGCCUGUCUUACCAGCUCUCCUGCCUUCUUCUUCUUUGUGUUUAACGGCGGUUGGCAACCAACGUAAAGGAGCAUUACCGCCUCCUACUGUUCCGGAGUAUGGGUCAGACAGUGAGCUUACAAUCUGUAUCCAAAUCAAACAGACAAAAAAAAAAAAAAAAAAAACCCUUGCACUCUUUCAUAAACACCUAUAGCCUUCAAAAACCCCACCAAUUCCCUCACCUGUGCCCUACUACCCUCCAACACACUCUUCAGAUUAAAUUCCCCGAUUCCCCACUCCUUCAAUCUAUUCUGCAGAACUUUCCUCUCCACAUCAUAACCCUUGCACCGCAGUAUUACAUGCUCUACCGUCUCCUCCUCCUCCUGGCACACUCCACAAAGCCCCGUCCCAUGUUCUCCUAUCAUCUGUAGUGUUUUAUUUAAUGCACAAUGUCCCAGUCUAAGCCUGGUAAUGACCAUCUCUUCUCUCCUAUUACCCCUAUACAACCUACACCCUGCCACCUCCUUCUUAAAAUGAUGCAAGUGCCUGCCCUUACUCCCUGAAUCCCACCGCUUCUGCCACUCCUGAACAACCUGCCUCCAAACAAUACCUUUUGCGUCAGAUCCGCUCUCCUGCCUUAGGUGCCACCUUUUUCUUUUGUACAGCUGACUCACAUCAGCAAUUAAAGGUAUUUAAGCCCAGAGAAAGGUGAGCUCUGGUGCCUGAGUGCCAUGUGAGUGGUUGCAGUUAGUGAGUUGCGUGUUUGGAGCUAGUGAAUUGCGUUCGGUGACUAAACUCUUUUUUUUUUUUUUUUUUGACUUUUCAGUUUGUUUACCAACGCUUGAGUUUUGUUUGUUUCCUUACAUGGUGAUGGCGGCUUGUCUGUCUCUUUUAGUUGAGCUAUUAAUAGUAACCUUAAUAAAACUCUUUAAUUUAA